rnacentral:lncRNA from 1 species
UUAGCUAGCUUAGGGCAUAACACAAUCCGGAAUCCUAUCUUCCCUCAGCACGCACACUCACAUAGCAUGCUCAAUCCAUGUAUGACGGCACCCUUUCUCUCUUAGCACUCUCUCUGUCUCUCACCACCCGCCACCAUCACCACUCACCAGCCUAGAGCUCAGAGUCACUUUGGCCCGAGAUGAAGCUCCUCAGUUCGACUUCUUCUCUCACCUUCAAGACCACGGUACUGGUGCUGCACUGCUUCUUGGUGACGAUGACCCUCAGUGACAAUGACACUAUCAGUGGCUACGAAGUGCGAUAGUGCUUCUAUGCUCUAUUUUCCCGGUGUUGCUUCCCGUAGUCAUCUACUUCUUCUCUUGCACCAUCAGUCCUCGUGAAGGUUAACCACACCACCACUAGAAGCUCCAGCAAAUCUCAGUCAGCUACCACCUCUACUCUGUUGCCCCUGGCUGUCUUCUUCUUCUGAACCCCUAGUCGCCUUUUUCUUCUCCUCUCUCACCUCUGUUCUCAAGCUCAGGUAAACCAUUAGUAUUUUUAUUAGGAAUUUUGAUUAUUGUUCUUAUUAGUAUUUUGAUCAUUGAAACUUCUCAUUAGGAGUUUUGAUUGUUAUUCUGAUUAGGAUUAGGGGUUUUGAUUAUUAUUUUGAUUAUUGGAACUUCUGAUUAGGAGUUUUGAUUAUUGUUCUGAUUAGUAUUUUGAUUAUUGUUCUGACUUCUGAUUACCAGUGAUGGUAUUUUCUUUUUUUUUUCUGGAAAAAUUAAUUAGUGAUGGUAUUUUGGUGUGUUGAUUAUCAGUACUAAAUAUUUGCUCUGAUUAUUGCUUAG